rnacentral:rRNA from 1 species
ACGUAGGUGGCAAGCGUUGUCCGGAAUUACUGGGUGUAAAGGGAGCGCAGGCGGAUUUGCAAGUUGGAAGUGAAACUCAUGGGCUCAACCCAUGAACUGCUUUCAAAACUGCAGAUCUUGAGUGGUGUAGAGGUAGGCGGAAUUCCCGGUGUAGCGGUGGAAUGCGUAGAUAUCGGGAGGAACACCAGUGGCGAAGGCGGCCUACUGGGCACUAACUGACGCUGAGGCUCGAAAGCAUGGGUAGCAAACAG